rnacentral:rRNA from 1 species
AUUGAACGCUGGCGGCAGGCCUAACACAUGCAAGUCGGACGGUAGCACAGAGGAGCUUGCUCCUCGGGUGACGAGUGGCGGACGGGUGAGUAAUGUCUGGGGAUCUGCCCGAUAGAGGGGGAUAACCACUGGAAACGGUGGCUAAUACCGCAUAACGUCGCAAGACCAAAGAGGGGGACCUUCGGGCCUCUCACUAUCGGAUGAACCCAGAUGGGAUUAGCUAGUAGGCGGGGUAACGGCCCACCUAGGCGACGAUCCCUAGGUGGUCUGAGAGGAUGACCAGCCACACUGGAACUGAGACACGGUCCAGACUCCUACGGGAGGCAGCAGUGGGGAAUAUUGCACAAUGGGCGCAAGCCUGAUGCAGCCAUGCCGCGUGUAUGAAGAAGGCCUUCGGGUUGUAAAGUACUUUCAGCGGGGAGGAAGGCGAUGUGGUUAAUAACCGCAUUGAUUGACGUUACCCGCAGAAGAAGCACCGGCUAACUCUGUGCCAGCCGCCGCGGUAA